rfam:Strongylocentrotus purpuratus Contig129994_fixed, whole genome shotgun sequence.
GGUAUGGUGGCUCAAUGGUUAGAGCGUCCGCCUCAUAAACGGGAGGUCGUGGGUUCGAUCCCCGGCCGAGUCA